rnacentral:rRNA from 1 species
ACGGGAGGCAGCAGUGAGGAAUAUUGGUCAAUGGGCGGAAGCCUGAACCAGCCAAGUCGCGUGAAGGAUGAAGGUAUUAUGUAUUGUAAACUUCUUUAGCAGCAGAGUAAUAAGGGGGUCGAGACCUCCGAUGCAAGUAUGCUGAGAAUAAGGAUCGGCUAACUCCGUGCCAGCAGCCGCGGUAAUACGGAGGAUCCGAGCGUUAUCCGGAUUUAUUGGGUUUAAAGGGAGCGCAGGCGGCCUGUUAAGCGUGUGGUGAAAUGUAGUCGCUCAACGUCUGCACUGCCACGCGAACUGGCGGGCUUGGGUGCGGUGAACGCUGGCGGAAUUCGUGGUGUAGCGGUGAAAUGCUUAGAUAUCACGAAGAACUCCGAUUGCGAAGGCAGCUGGCGGUACCGUUACCGACGCUCAUGCUCGAAAGUGUGGGUAUCGAACAGGAUUAGAUACCCUGGUA